rnacentral:rRNA from 1 species
GACACGGUCCAGACUCCUACGGGAGGCAGCNGUGGGGAAUAUUGCACAAUGGGCGCAAGCCUGAUGCAGCCAUGCCGCGUGUGUGAAGAAGGCCUUCGGGUUGUAAAGCACUUUCAGUUGUGAGGAAAGGUUAGUAGUUAAUACCUGCUAGCUAUGACGUUAGCAACAGAAGAAGCACCGGCUAACUCCGUGCCAGCAGCCGCGGUAAUACGGAGGGUGCGAGCGUUAAUCGGAAUUACUGGGCGUAAAGCGUACGCAGGCGGUUUGUUAAGCGAGAUGUGAAAGCCCCGGGCUCAACCUGGGAACUGCAUUUCGAACUGGCAAACUAGAGUGUGAUAGAGGGUGGUAGAAUUUCAGGUGUAGCGUGAAAUGCGUAGAGAUCUGAAGGAAUACCGAUGGCGAAGGCNGCCACCUGGGUCAACACUGACGCUCAUGUACAAAGCUUGGGGAGCAAACGGGAUUAGAUACCCCGGU